CCUACGGGGGGCAGCAGUGGGGAAUAUUGGACAAUGGGGGGAACCCUGAUCCAGCCAUGCCGCGUGUGUGAAGAAGGCCCUCGGGUUGUAAAGCACUUUCAGUGAGGAAGAACGCCUGGUGGUUAAUACCCAUCAGGAAAGACAUCACUCACAGAAGAAGCACCGGCUAACUCCGUGCCAGCAGCCGCGGUAAUACGGAGGGUGCGAGCGUUAAUCGGAAUUACUGGGCGUAAAGCGCGCGUAGGUGGCUUGAUAAGCCGGUUGUGAAAGCCCCGGGCUCAACCUGGGAACGGCAUCCGGAACUGUCAAGCUAGAGUGCAGGAGAGGAAGGUAGAAUUCCCGGUGUAGCGGUGAAAUGCGUAGAGAUCGGGAGGAAUACCAGUGGCGAAGGCGGCCUUCUGGACUGACACUGACACUGAGGUGCGAAAGCGUGGAUAGCAAACAGGAUUAGAUACCCCUGUAGUC
rnacentral:rRNA from 1 species